AUGCUUGCUUCAGCACCAUAUAUACUAAAAUUGGAAUGAUACACAAAAGAUUAGCAUGGCCCCUGCACAUGGAUGACAUGCAAGUUCAUGAAUCAUUCCACAUUUUU
rnacentral:snRNA from 1 species